GACGAACGCUGGCGGCGUGCUUAACACAUGCAAGUCGAACGGAAAGGCCUCUUUCGGGGGGUACUCGAGUGGCGAACGGGUGAGUAACACGUGAGUAACCUGCCCUUGACUUUGGGAUAACUUCAGGAAACUGGGGCUAAUACCGGAUAGGAGCUCCUGCUGCAUGGUGGGGGUUGGAAAGUUUCGGCGGUUGGGGAUGGACUCGCGGCUUAUCAGCUUGUUGGUGGGGUAGUGGCUUACCAAGGCUUUGACGGGUAGCCGGCCUGAGAGGGUGACCGGCCAAAUUGGGACUGAGAUACGGCCCAGACUCCUACGGGAGGCAGCAGUGGGGAAUAUUGCACAAUGGGUGGAAGCCUGAUGCAGCAACGCCGUGUGCGGGAUGACGGCCUUCGGGUUGUAAACCGCUUUCGCUCAUGACGAAGCUUUGUGUGACGGUAGUGGGUAAAGAAGCACCGGCUAACUACGUG
rnacentral:rRNA from 1 species